CAUACAGGACUUCAACAUGAAACUUCAUUGGUGUAUUGAUGUCAAUAAGAGAAGUGUCAUGCACAAAAACAAUAACCCUUCAUUUUCUUAAAUAAGAGUUAUUGCCCUUUGUUGUGUUUGUGUUGUGUAACUUUUCAAGACUAUAAUCAGAUUCGCUAAAAGAUUUCAAUAUAAAACUGCAUGUGUAUAGAUAACAAUGAGAAGAAUCGCAUUGCAUAAAAACAAUUAGCCUACACUUAUUUUUUUAGGAUUAUAUCAAAUAUAAAGUAUUUGCACACAUCCAUUAACAAACUUUAUUUGGCGGGGGAUAUCAUUUCAACAAAUGUGCUUGUUUUUAUGGUUUUCAGUUGUUGUUUUAAUUAUUAACAUUUAUAAAUGUUAUCAUUAUUUAUUAUCUUUACCUUCAUCAUUUAGUUAUUUGCAAAUUUUUAACUAGAGAUGUGCCGUUCUUCAUUUAGCUAUUUGCAAAUAUAGACCCAUAGAUUUGAAACAAGGCAAAUGCUUGGUACUUACAAAUAUCUCUAUAAGUACUUAUGCAGAUUCUUUUUAGCUACUUUGAGCACAACAUGCUUGUUGUUAGUGUUUUUGAUAGCUUUUUGGAUUUUGUUUGUUGACUGUCUUGCAUCAUCAACAUUUGCCUUGUUAGUACUAUAGUCUAUAGUCAAAAUAUAUUUCCAAAUUUUAUAUCGGCCAAGUUCAUAACUGGGUCACAUGUGGUCAAAAACUAGGUCAGUAGGUUAAAUUAAAGAAAUGAUUAAAGAACACUCGAAAUGCUACAUUUAUUUCCCAAAUGCAAUAAAACUUACUACAUUUGUAUGUCACAAUGUCAAAUUAAAAGAAAAGCUUAGAAACACUCUAGAAGUCACAUUGUGAUAUAGUCAUGCUCCUAAUUUUUUGUUUGAAAAAGUCUGUGAAUAAGAAGAACAACAACUACAUGAGAUAGAUUACGGCCAAUAUUUUCAGUGAAACCUUGCUAUUGAGACCACCUGUGGGAUGUUUGAAAAGUGGUCCUAAUAGCGAGAUGGUCUUAAUGCUGAGUUUUCAUGACUUUCAUGACUUUUGAUAGAAAGAUAACACAACUAGUCAAUAGUCAAACUGUAAAAAUGUUGCAUGCUAUAUAACAGUAAUUUAUAAAAAUCAUUGUACAAAGAAAGUAUUUCAAGCUUUUCAAACAAAAAGUGAAACAUAAUUUCAUCAUGAUACUUUCCUUUACUUAACGUUUUGGAAGGAUGGAAAAGUUUAAACAUUAACACACCUUCUUCUUUCAUGUGCAGAAUAAACUGGCCAACUGCCUUAAGAUUUCCCAUUGGUCGCAUUGUUUUAAUCAAUCUUUUAUUUUGAAUACAGAUAAGACAUACAGGUAGUUUUUUUUAAUCUGCCAUAAACAAGACCAUCUCACUCAUUUAUCUUAAUAGCCAAAAACAGUUGCGUUAAACGUUCAUUGAGUGGCAAUGGCUUUGUACACAAACCCGAUUGAACCACAACACCUAAUCAAGUAAGGUGUGAAAAUUACUGGUUAUUUGGUGGGUGUCAAUUUAGAGCAAUUUAGUUGAUUGGUACUGAUUAAAGUGGUUGUAAUAGCGGAUUAACGGGUUGGUCGUAUUUAUGAGUGUAACAACCAUUGAAAUAUGCAAGGAAAAUUGCAGGACUGAAACAUGCUGAUCUUCUUAGCAAGUUUGUCAUUAUUACGAGGUUGUCAUUAAGCGAGGUUUUACUGUAUCUAAUUAAUUAACUUGGAUGUUUCCUAUAUGCACCCCCUUAUUUUAUUUAAUGGUCAAUCACCGGUGCAUUAAUUGGUAUUUUCAUGGCUAGCAGAUAUAAUUGCUUCUUGUUUAUUUUCCUGUUGACGAUGUGUUAACUGACAUAAAGUUAUUAAAAUAGUCCAAAUUUAGAUGUCUCUUCCUGUUUAAUUAGCCAUAUACAUACAUUGUCUGUAUAAACGUGAGAGAAUGCAAUUUCAUAAUGGAUCUGGCUCCAUUAGGUAUCUUGCUGCUAGCGGGUAUGAUUGAAUGACCUGUCUUGAAUUACAUGUGGGGCGCUUUUUAACCAGGUUUUCCGAAGGAAAAAACUGGUUAUUAGAUUGGCGAAUGCGGGCGGGCUGGCUGGCUGGCUGGCUGGCUGGGCUGGCGGGCUGGCGGAAUAAGCUUGUCCGGGCCAUAACUAUGUCGUUCAUUGUCAGAUUUUAAAAUCAUUUGGCACAUUUGUUCACCAUCAUUGGACGGUGUGUCGCGCGAAAUAAUUACGUCGAUAUCUCCAAGGUCAAGGUCACACUUUGAGUUCAAAGGUCAAAAAUGGCCAUAAAUGAGCUUGUCCUGGCCAUAACUAUGUCAUUCAUUGUGAGAUUUUAAAAUCAUUUGGCACAUUUGUUCACCAUCAUGGGACGGUGUGUCCCACGAAAGAAUCACGUCAAUAUCUCCAAUGUCAAGGUCGCCACGACUAAAAAUAGAUUAAAAAAAAAAAAAAACUUACAAAGGGGGUUAAUUUUUUUUGGUCAUUUCAAAAGUUCAGUUUGAGUUUU